rnacentral:rRNA from 1 species
GUGGGGAAUAUUGGACAAUGGGAGCAAGCCUGAUCCAGCCAUGCCGCGUGAGUGAUGAAGGCCCUAGGGUUGUAAAGCUCUUUCACCGGUGAAGAUAAUGACGGUAACCGGAGAAGAAGCCCCGGCUAACUUCGUGCCAGCAGCCGCGGAACUACGAACGGGGCUAGCGUUGUUCGGAAUUACUGGGCGCAAAGCGCACGUAGGCGGACAUGUAAGUCAGGGGUGAAAUCCCGGAGCUCAACCAUGGAACUGCCGUUGAUACUGGGUGUCUAGAGUAUGGAAGAGGUAAGUGGAACUCCGAGUGUAGAGGUGAAAUUCGUAGAUAUUCGGAGGAACACCAGUUGCGAAGGCGGCUUACUGAUCCAUUACUGACGCUGAGGUGCGAAAGCGUGGGGAGCAAACAGGAUUAGAAACCCUGGUAGUCC